CUUGUCUCAAAGAUUAAGCCAUGCAUGUCUAAGCAUGAGCUGAAUAAUGGGAAGCCGCGAAUGGCUCAUUACAACAGCCGUUGUUUCUUGGAUCUUGUUUUACUUGGAUAACUGUGGUAAUUCUAGAGCUAAUACAUGCAGCGAAGCUUCGACCUUACGGGAGGAGCGCAUUUAUUAGACCAAGACCAAUCAGGCUUCGGCCUGUCUUCUGGUGACUCUGAAUAACUUUGCUGAUCACACGGUCCUCGCACCGGUGACAUAUCUUUCAAGUGUCUGCCCUAUCAACUGUCGAUGGUAGUUUAUGUGCCUACCAUGGUUGUAACGGGUAACGGAGAAUAAGGGUUCGACUCCGGAGAGGGAGCCUGAGAAAUGGCUACCACAUCCAAGGAAGGCAGCAGGC
rnacentral:rRNA from 1 species